GACGAACGCUGGCGGCGUGCCUAAUACAUGCAAGUCGAACGCAGUGGGGACGGGUGAGUGACACGUGUGUAACCUCCCAUAAGAGGGGAGAACACUUGGAAACAGGUGCUAAACCGAUACUGAUUGAUGGACCCGCUGGGCAUUAGCUAGUUGGUGGGGUAACGGCUCACCAAGGCGACGAUGCCUAGCGGACCUGAGAGGGGGACCGGCCACACUGGGACUGAGACACGGCCCAGACUCCUACGGGAGGCAGCAGUAGGGAAUGUUGCGCAAUGGACGCAAGUCUGACCGAGCAAUGCCGCGUGAGUGAAGAAGGCUUUCGGGUUGUAAAGUUCUGUUGGUGGAGAAGCGGUAUCCGCCCAGAAAGCCACGGCUAACUCCGUGCCAGCAGCCGCGGUAAUAC
rnacentral:rRNA from 1 species